rnacentral:rRNA from 1 species
GACGAACGCUGGCGGCGUGCCUAAUACAUGUAAGUCGAGCGAAGCGGCGGAUGUGGGAGUAACGCGUGGGUAACCUGCCCUUAAGUCUGGGAUACCAUUUGGAAACAGAUGCUAAUACCGGAUACUAAAGGAUGGACUGGCGAUGCAUUAGCUAGUUGGUAAGGUAACGGCUUACCAAGGCGAUGAUGCAUAGCCGAGUUGAGAGACUGAUCGGCCACAUUGGAACUGAGACACGGCCCAAACUCCUACGGGAGGAAGCAGUAGGGAAUAUUGCACAAUGGACGAAAGUCUGAUGCAGCAACGCCGCGUGAGUGAAGAAGGUUUUCGGGUCGUAAAGCUCUGUUGUUGGUGAAGCGGUAAUCAACCAGAAAGCAACGGCUAACUACGUGCCAGCAGCCGCGGUAAUUC